rnacentral:misc_RNA from 1 species
GUUUGUUUUGAAAACAAAAGACUAGGUUUUCCAGUACUUCAAGAAGUUUCAUGCCAUGGUAGAAAGAGAGAAAGUUGUCUCUUUAAAAUGUCUUUAGAGUGACAAUGGAGGUGAAUGCACAUCAAAGGAGUUUGAAGCCUACUGGUAACAGCAUGGCAUUAGACAUGAGAAUAUGGUUCCUGGCUCUCCAUAACACAAUGGUGUGGCUAAGAGAAUGAAUAAAACAAUCAAUAAGAAGGUCAGAUGUAUGCUCAAGAUGGCUAUUUUUCCCAAGUAUUUUGGGUAAAAGCUCUACUUACUGCUUGUUACCCAUUAAAUCAAUCUCCAUCAAUUGGUUUGGAUUAUGACAUUCCAGAAAGAGUAUGGACCAGAAAAGAAGUUGGUUACUCUCACUUGAAGGUGUUUGGUUGCAAAGCCUUUGUAAAUGUACCAAAGGAACAAAGACAAAAGCUUGACGAUAGGGCCACUCCGUGUAUAUUUCUGGGAUAUGGAGACGCAGAGUUUUGGUAUAAGUUAUGGGAUCUAAUUAAGAAGAAGAUUGUCAAAUCAAGAGAUGUAGUAUUUCAGUAGAAUGAAAUCCUUCUAGAGUCAGAGACAACUAAGAAGUCAAAUGCAAGUGUUGUGAUUGAUUCUUCACCAGUAUCUCCUUCAACUAUGCAUACCACAGGAGAAGAGUUGAAUGAAGAACAUGGGAUAGAUAAUGAACCAGUACCAGUUGAUGUUAAUGACGCAGAUGUAGAGGUGUUGAGCAAGGGGGGCAGCCCCAUUCACCUCAAUUAGAAAUGCCUCAGCUUAGAGGAUCUUCUAGAGGGCACCAUCUAUCUACUAAAUAUCCCAGUUUAGAGUAUGUUACUCUUGCUGAAGAAGGGGAGCUAAAAAGCUUUCAAGGAGUUCUAACUCAUAAGGAAAGGGUUCGCUGGAUAAUAGCAAUGCAAGAAGAAAUGAAUUCCUUGAAGAAGAACAAUACAUAUGAGUUGAUUGAACCUCCAAAGAGUAAAAAGCCAUUGAAGAACAAAUGAGUGUUCAAAUUGAAGAAAGAUGGUGAUAAGCUAGUAAAGUAUAAAGCUUCUCUAGUAGUGAAGGUUUUUAAUCAGAAGAAAGGAAUUGAUUUUGAUGAGAUUUUUUCUCCUGUUGUGAAGAUUAAUUUUAUUAGGGUGAUUCUUGGAUUGACUGCUAGCAUGGAUCUUGAACUUGGGUAGUUAGAUGUGGAAACUGCUUUCCCCCAUGGUGAAUUGGAGGAAGAAAUCUACAUGGUUCAGCUAAAAGGAUUUGAAGGGAAGGGAAAGGAGCACUUGGUUUGUAGGUUGAAGAAGAGCUUGUAUGGAUUGAAACAAGCUCCCAGGCAGUGGUAUAAGAAGUUUGACUCUUUCAUGGUGAGUCAUGGGUAUAUCAGGACAGAUAUCGAUCAUUAUGUGCAUUUCAUAUUAUUUCCUAAUGGUAACUUUGUUAUCCAUUUGCUCUAAGUUGAUGAUAUGUUAAUAGUAGGGCAAGAUGCUAAGGUGAUUAGUGUUUUGAAAAAGGAGUUGUUCAGUUCCUUUGACAUGAAGGAUCUAGGUCACGCACAAUAAAUUUUAGGCAUGCAAAUUGUCUGUGAUAAGAAAGCAAAGAAGCUAUGGUUGUCACAGGAAAAAUAUAUUGAGAGGGUCUUAGAUAGAUUUAAUAUGAAGAGUGCUAAGCCAUUUAGCACACCUUUAGCUAAUCACUUCAAGCUUAGUAAGAAGAAUUUCCUUCUACUCAAGAAGAAAAGGAAGGGAUGGCAAUUAUUCCUUACUCCUCUGCAAUUGGGAGCUUGAUGUAUGCAAUAGUAUGUACUCGACUGGAUAUUGCACGAGCAGUUGGUUUAGUUUGCAAAUUUCUUUCUAACCCAAGGAAAGAACAUUGGGAAGUGUGAAGUGGAUCUUUAGAUAUUUGAGAGCUAGCUCUAAAAUGUGUUUGUGUUUUGGUGGCUCAAAGCUAGUCUUGGUGGGAUAUAUAAAUGUAGAUAUGGCAAGUGAUCUUGAUGGUAGAAAGUCUACUUCAGGAUAUGUGUUUACUUUUGCAAGGGGAGCUGUGUCAUGGCAGUCUAAAUUACAGAAGUAUAUUGCAUUGUCUAUAAUUAAAGCAGAGUAUAUUGCAACAACUGAAGUUAUUAAGGAAUUAUUGUUGUUGAAGAGAUUUCUCCAAAAGUUGGGUUUGAAGCAGGAUGAGUAUGUGGUUGACUGUGAUAGUCAGAGUGCUUUGGAUUUAAGCAACAUACCAUUGUUGCACCAAGCAUGUUGAUGUGAGGUACCAUUGGCUUCGAGAUGUGAAUGAAAAAGGAAUUUUACUUAAGAAGAUUCACACAGAUAAAAAUUCUGUUGGCAUGUUCACUAAGGUGGUGACUUGAGACAAGCAUUAGUUCUAUGCCCAGGCGACAAGACUGAGUUCCAUGAGAUUUGUUGAGGAACAAAACAUCUUCCCCAUAAGCUGGAGGGGGAGAUUGUUAGCUUUAAAGAUGUGGGGUGCAACUCAUAUUUAAAUAAUAAAAAGAAAAGAAAAAAUAAAGAGAUGAAAAUGUCCAUGUGUGCAGUGACGUUGGGAAGAGUAAAAUGUAGUGGCUUUUUACUUUAUAAGUCCUUGGCAAUUUACCACUUUAGUUCUCAGAUGUGACAUAAAGUAAGUUUGGUGAGAGAGAUACAAAAAACCUAAUUGCAGCAAAAAUUGAAGCCUCUUUCUUUAUUCUCUCUGCUGGGCACGAAGGUCAAACGAAAAAAGCAAGGUUUAACCUUUUCUUGUUUUGAUUUGUUCUUUAUUCAUAUCACUAUUGAAAUUAAAUGGUUUUUUUAUUCAAGCAAUAUUUUGAAGGAUUAUUUUUCUAUUGUAUUGAUUUGCAAUCAAGAGUAUUUUGGGAUUUUGGGAUAGAAAAAUAAUUCAGGUAUAUCUUGGGUUGAAGAUCUCUUGUUUGUAAUAAAUUGGAGAGUAAUUGUACGGCUUUUCUUGAUAUGGAUUUGAAUUAGAGUUUAGCCUGUGGUUUUUCCCUCUACAUUAAAGGGU